rnacentral:rRNA from 1 species
UACGUAGGGUGCAAGCGUUAAUCGGAAUUACUGGGCGUAAAGCGUGCGCAGGCGGUUAUGUAAGACAGAUGUGAAAUGCCCGGGCUUAACCUGGGAACUGCAUUUGUGACUGCAUGGCUAGAGUUUGGCAGAGGGGGGUAGAAUUCCACGUGUAGCAGUGAAAUGCGUAGAUAUGUGGAGGAACACCGAUGGCGAAGGCAGCCCCCUGGGUUAAGACUGACGCUCAUGCACGAAAGCGUGGGGAGCAAACAGG